rnacentral:rRNA from 1 species
ACGCUAAUACCGCAUAUUCUGUGAGCAGGAAAGCAGGGGACCGCAAGGCCUUGCGCUCUUUGAGCGGCCGAUGUCAGAUUAGCUAGUUGGUGAGGUAAAGGCUUACCAAGGCGACGAUCUGUAGCGGGUCUGAGAGGAUGAUCCGCCACACUGGAACUGAGACACGGUCCAGACUCCUACGGGAGGCAGCAGUGGGGAAUUUUUGGACAAUGGGCGCAAGCCUGAUCCAGCCAUGCCGCGUGAGUGAAGAAGGCCUUCGGGUUGUAAAGCUCUUUCGGCCGGGAAGAAAUCGCAUGGGUUAAUACCCUGUGUGGAUGACGGUACCGGAAUAAGAAGCACCGGCUAACUACGUG